UACGUAGGUUGCGAGCGUUGUCCGGAUUUACUGGGCGUAAAGCGCGCGCAGGCGGUCUUGAAAGUCGAAUGUGAAAGCUCCCGGCCCAACUGGGAGAGGCCGUUCGAAACUUCGAGACUUGAAGGCGGGAGAGGCAGAUGGAAUUUCCGGUGUAGCGGUAAAAUGCGUAGAUACCGGAAGGAACACCAGUGGCGAAAGCGAUCUGCUGGCCCGCCCUUGACGCUCAGGCGCGAAAGCUAGGGGAGCGACCGGG
rnacentral:rRNA from 2 species